ensembl:lncRNA
AGGACCUUUAAUGUGGCUACAGCACUCUCCACACCAUAGAGUUGGCCGAGGACCCAAUGUAUGCUGAAUAAAUCGAAGUAGCUUGUAUUGGGAGAAGAGUGAACUUCUCAGUCUGCUCUGGAAGACACUUGCGAGUCAAGGUUGGCCCCUAGGGUUGAGGGAGAAUCUCAAGAAGUUAUGAGGUUACCAGGAACACUGCCCCUCAAGGCUUGUCAUGCUCCCAGGAUGCCAUCUGGGCCCAAUGUCAGGCCUGCCUCACAUGCUGGUCAGGGGCGGCUUCUACAUCUGAUGCUGAAGAUGUAACUGAAAGGCGGCACUUGAAAAACCUGACUGAUUUAGACCAAGAACGGGCAUUCCCAUUUGUGAAGAAUCUGUGGGCAGCCCAAACGUUUCCACGAGACAUUCUUGAUGGAGAACUAGAGUCAAUAUGCCCAAAUUUAUAAGCCACUGGACAACGACUUAAAAAUGAGGGACAUUUCACAGGUUUUCGUCAGCCCUGCCUCUCACAACUGCCAUCCACCAACAACUUUAAGAACAAACUUAACUUUUCUAAACAAAAAUAAUUUGAUCAUUUUGUGUGGCAUUAACACCCCACUACUUCGAUACGUUAUCUAUAUUUUUCUUGUUGACAUCCAACCAAUUCAGAGCUAAAAAUCCAUCCUCCAGUUUUUCUGUGGGUCGUAAAUCAUAAAAAGGUUAUAUUUUAUGAAAGCUGAAGCUGAGAAGUAAACAGCAUAUUUAUAUCCAAAGAGUUUCAUCCAUUAAGCAGCAGUGACAGGGCCCUGUGGGCCAGAAUCUAGUUUUCUUACUUAAAAAGCUUAGUUCUUUUGUAGACUCCUGCAGGGACCUAUAACAGUUGGAAUUGGGUUUUUUAUGCCUUUGAGGCCUCCGAAUGAAUGUUACACUUUUCCAUUAUUUUCUUUUUUCUUUUGAGAAAACUAGGCUACCUGCUUAUUGCCUAAAACCUACACCCCAUGAUUGUAGUGUCGUAAUAUCUGUCUUCUGCCCUUUCCUCCCCCAUCUUACCAACAUCCCCAAACUUUGUUUAGACCCUGUGUCCACAAGGUGAUGCUGCAUUU